rnacentral:rRNA from 1 species
CGUAGGCAGCGAGCGUUGUUCGGAGUUACUGGGCGUAAAGGGUGUGUAGGCGGUUGUUUAAGUUUGGUGUGAAAUCUCCCGGCUCAACUGGGAGGGUGCGCCGAAUACUGAAUGACUUCGAGUGCGGGAGAGGAAAGUGGAAUUCCUGGUGUAGCGGUGAAAUGCGUAGAUAUCAGGAGGAACACCGGUGGUGUAGACGGCUUUCUGGACCGUAACUGACGCUGAGACACGAAAGCGUGGGUAGCAAACAGGAUUAGAUACCCUGGUAGUCCACGCCCUAAACGAUGCAUAUUUGGUGUGGGCAGUUCAUUCUGUCCGUGCCGGAGCUAACGCGUUAAAUAUGCCGCCUGGGGAGUACAGUCGCAAGGCUG